CGGACGGGUGAGUAAUGUCUGGGAAACUGCCCGAUGGAGGGGGAUAACUACUGGAAACGGUAGCUAAUACCGCAUAACGUCACAAGACCAAAGAGGGGGACCUUCGGGCCUCUUGCCAUCGGAUGUGCCCAGAUGGGAUUAGCUAGUAGGUGGGGUAACGGCUCACCUAGGCGACGAUCCCUAGCUGGUCUGAGAGGAUGACCAGCCACACUGGAACUGAGACACGGUCCAG
rnacentral:rRNA from 1 species